AUACCCGUCGUUGGCGCCCCAGUUGGUGGCGUCGCCAGAGCACUCGCGCAUGGCGUGAGGGUCCUGGAGGACGGGAUAAAUUAUGCAACAGGGAAUUUACCCGGUUGCUCUUU
rfam:Hepatitis C virus strain RF1_2k/1b, N687 polyprotein gene, complete cds